AGUUCGUGGAGUGAUCUGUCUGCUUAAUUGCGUUUCACUAAGGGCUUAUAAAUUUACGUGUGUUGUGAGUACUUUGACCCCUAUGUUGAAAUAUACAUAGUGCGCGUCUCAGUUUGCUUCACUCACACAAUUAAGUCCUGAAAGCAACGAACGUGACCGCAACCUCUUGUUGCCUCUAAACCAAACGGUGUAAUAUUUAAAUAUUUAUUUAUUUAAUUUUAUGCUAAAAAGAGGCUUUUUAAACUAGAGGGACCGCUGUAAUCUUUUUAAACCAGAGGAAGGUUGCGGCAAUAACAGGU
rnacentral:rRNA from 1 species